CUCGUAGACGGCCAACUAAGUCAGACGUGAAAUCCCCAGGCUCAACCUGGGAACUGCGUCUGAUACUGGAUGGCUUGAAUCCGGGAGAGGGAUGCAGAAUUCCAGGUGUAGCGGUGAAAUGCGUAGAUAUCUAGAGGAAUACCGGUGGCGAAGGCGGCAUCCUGGACCGGCAUUGACGCUGAGGAGCGAAAGCCAGGGGAGCAAACG
rnacentral:rRNA from 1 species